GGAAGAAUGGCAGAGCGGUUUAAUGCACCUGUCUUGAAAACCGUCGCACUGAGAGGUGCCGGGGGUUCGAAUCCCUCUCUCUCCG
rnacentral:tRNA from 1 species